rnacentral:rRNA from 1 species
UAACACGUAGGGCGCAAGCGUUGUCCGGAAUUAUUGGGCGUAAAGAGCUCGUAGGCGGUCUGUUGCGUCCGCUGUGAAAACUCGGGGCUUAACCCCGAGCCUGCAGUGGAUACGGGCAGACUAGAGGUAGGUAGGGGAGAAUGGAAUUCCCGGUGUAGCGGUGAAAUGCGCAGAUAUCGGGAGGAACACCGGUGGCGAAGGCGGUUCUCUGGGCCUUACCUGACGCUGAGGAGCGAAAGCGUGGGGAGCGAACAGGAUUAGAUACCCUGGUAGUCCACGCCGUAAACGUUGGGCGCUAGGUGUGGGAUCCUUCCACGGAUUCCGUGCCGCAGCUAACGCAUUAAGCGCCCCGCCUGGGGAGUACGGCCGCAAGGCUA